rnacentral:lncRNA from 1 species
GGCCUUAUUUAUUUUUUCAUUCAUAUGUUGUUCGAAAUUUAGUUUGUUAUCAAUGGUUACUCCUAUGUCUUUUUCUUUGUCAACAUGUUCUAGUGUGGUGUUACACAGGUUGUAUUUAUGGUUGUUAUCAUGUUGUUUCCCUGUUGUUAGGACUUUACAUUUAUCUGGGUGAAAUCUUAGCAACCAAGUAUUUGACCAAGAUUCUAGACAAUUUCCGGAUUUUGUUCAUUUCCGUUACCGGUAACCGUCGAUAAUUUCGUUUCAUGUAAAACUUCCUGUUUCAAAUUUUAGUUUUCAUAUUUCGUAGAGUAUUCUUACUGAAUGAUUAAGUCGAUAUAUUCUGCUGAUCUAUGAUGACAACAUCAUUUACCGAGAAUAGAGAGGGCGUGAAAUAUUCGGGUUACGAGUAAUACGCUGUGUCCAAGAACGCAAAUCGCCGUAGCGUAUGUCACAAAUGACACAAAUGUUUGUGAGUAAAACACCUUGGAUUUAUUUUAUUUAUGCAAUAACUUUGUGUCAAAAAAUUUGGACUGUGAAUGAAACCCAAAAGUGUUAGAAUCGUGGAACACAUUUGACCGGAAUAAAGAAAAUGACACAAGCAUGAACUUUUUAGAUUGGUGACCGUAUAUUGAGUUAAAAAAAAUCAACAAACAUACGCUUUUUUAAUUUAUUAAUUCAUAGCAAGCUCUUAGAUUUAGAUUUAGCUUUUAUAUUUAUAAUUUUGAGAAAGCGGAACCAGCAUAUGGAGUAUAUGUGUCUCAAUUGAUACGUUACUCUAGAGCUAGCUCAAAGUACGUUGAUUUUGUUGAAAGAGGAAUACUACUUUCUCAAAAGUUGCUAAGACAGGGCUAUGAAUCAAUCAAAUUAAGGUCAUCACUCAAGCAAUUUAAUGGUCGUCAUCAUGACCUGACUGGCCAUUAUGACAAAAGUGUGUCAGAAAUCAUGUCUCAGUGAUAUUCUUCCUCAGUAAUAACAACCUUUCAUCAUUACCGAACUGAACAAAGAAAUAACCCGACGUGUGCCGUAUACGGUGCAGGAAAUGCUUACCAUUCCGGAGCACCAGAUUUCACCCCUGGUUUUUAGUGGAGUUCGUGUUGUUUCCUACUUAUUAUUUGUAACUUGAUGUAAAUGUCUUUUGGUUUUAUGAGUCUUUGGUUACUCCUUGGUUUUGAUUGUUAUUGUCUGAUACACGAUACCUUAUGGAUGUAUUUACAUGAUAUAAGCUUAUUAUAACACUUGCAUAUAUAAAUAACAC